rnacentral:rRNA from 1 species
AGCGAACGCUGGCGGCAGGCCUAACACAUGCAAGUCGAACGAACCUUUCGGGGUUAGUGGCGGACGGGUGAGUAACACGUGGGAACGUGCCUUUAGGCUCGGAAUAACUCAGGGAAACUUGUGCUAAUACCGAAUGUGCCCUUCGGGGGAAAGAUUUAUCGCCUUUAGAGCGGCCCGCGUCGGAUUAGCUAGUUGGUUGAGGUAAUGGCUCACCAAGGCGACCAACAGUAGCGGGUCUGUGAGGAUGAGCAGCCACAUUGGGACUGGGACACGGCCGAGAAUCCUACGGGAGGGAGCAGUGGGGAAUCUUGCGCAAUGGGCGAAAGCAUGACGCAGCCAGGCCGCGUGAAUGAUGAAGGUCGUAGGAUUGUAAAAUUCUUUAACCGGGGACGAUAAUGACGGUACCCGGAGAAGAAGCCCCGGCUAACUUCGUG